AAUAAGUAAUUAACUAUGUCUAUGUUAGAUUUUUUUUUGGUGUAAGUCUAUGUUAGAUUUUAAAUAUUACCAAUUGAUAUAGGUUGUCAUCUGGUAAAACUAUAAUGUUUUACGGUAUCAAAUUACUUUCAUAAAGUUAGGCGGGUUUUUAAUACCUUGUGACAUUCUUCUAUCCACGUAAGUAAAUUUAGUUUUUCAUUUUAGGAUUCAUCAUCUAUAUAUAUGACCCACCAAUGCAUUGUUCAAGGCACAACAACAUGAGCUUGCUGUGGAUCACAGGAUUGUGUGUUACAGCCCUAGUGGUUGUGAGGAUUAGCAAUUGGUGGUACCGAUGGUCAAACCCCAAGUCUAAUGGCAAGUUACCUCCGGGAUCAAUGGGCUUCCCCAUAAUCGGAGAGACGUUCGAUUUUUUUAAGCCUCAUCGAUUCUACGAGAUCUCCCCGUUUCUCAAGAAGAAGAUGUUAAGGUAUGGACCUUUGUUUCGGACUAGCAUUCUUGGUGUAAACACUGUGAUUUCUACAGAUAUGGAUGUGAACUUGGAUAUUUUACGACACGAGAACGAGUAUUUUAAUUUAAGUUAUCCAGAUGGUUUAGUGAAGCCAUUGGGAAAAGAAAGCAUGUUCUUGAAGACGGGAAACAUCCACAAGCACAUCAAAAAAAUCUGUAUGCGUCUUUUGGGCUCCGAGAAUUUGAAGCGGAAGAUAAUAAAAGAUAUGGAUCACGUGACAUGCGAGCAUCUUAGUUUGAAAGUUGGCCAGGGAAGAUUCGACCUCAGGGACCUAGCUUCAAGUUUGAUAACAGCACACUUGACACCAAAAGUGAUAAGUGGUCUCAAACCAGAGACUCAAUCAAUGCUUAUGGAAAGCUUCAAAGCCUUCAGUUUUGAUUGGUUUCGGACAUCCUACAUUCUCUCUGCGGGGAGGGGUCUCUACAACACCCUUUGGGCAUGCAGACAGGGGAUGAAGUUGAUAAAGGAUGUUUACACGAGGAGAAUAACGUCAAGAGAGAAGUACAAUGACUUCCUUGAGACAGCAUUAGAAGAGUCAGAGAAAGAAGGAAACUCAGUGAACGAAGAUGUGAUUGUAAGCCUCAUCUUCACUCUUUCCGGUAUCACUCAAGAUACCACCUCUAAGGCCAUUUGCAUGGUUGUGAAAUUCGUAUCGGAAAACCCAAAAGUUCUUGUAGAGUUGAAGAGAGAGCAUGAGGCAAUCCUUGCGAACAGAGAAGAUAAAGAAGGCGGAGUUACUUGGGAAGAAUUCAGACACAAGAUGAUUUUCACCAACAUGGUUAUACAUGAGUCGCUUCGAAUGACAAAUCUGGCCCCUAUGAUGUUUAGAAAAGUGGUGAAAGAUGUGGAAAUAAAAGGCAAGUAGUACUGUACUAGUUUUACUAUUAUAAUUAACAAACAAAAAAUAGUGUACUAAUAAUAAUAAAAUAAUGUGGUACUAGUAAUAAAAUUGUAUACAAAAAGCUGGACUUGAUGAUUAGUUGUUAUUUGGCUUAUACUUUUUAUUUAUUUCAUAUUCGCCUUGUAUGACAUUCAAGUUAAAAGUUUACAAAUUUUUUUACUUAGAAAACGAAUCAAAUAUCUAAAUAGUAUUAUAUUUUUAACUAGAGGUUCGCCGGCGCUACGCGCCGGGUUUGGGAUUUUUUUUCCUAUUUCAAAUUGGUAUCAUUGUGUUCUUUUAUUUUGUUGUUAUGAGUGAGUGUAGGCAGGGUUGUGUUUAUUUUAAAUAUUGGAUAUUUUGCAUGAUGUUUGUAUUUUUGUAUUACGGUAAGUACGGUGAGUUUGGCUUGUGACUUAAGUAAUUCGCAGAGAGUUAUUUGGAAACGUUAUAAACAGUCAUAUUUCAUUGCAUUGGAACUAAAUAUAUUUUUCUCCUGGAACGUGGACAACAUUCAAGGUUUUUUUUGCUUUGACUAACCUCCAAAAGAAAACCAAAUUUCACCUGCAAAUACCACUUACCUCCAGCCUCUACCUACUUCUAUCAGGUGCUUCUCGACAGAAAAAUGAAUAGAAAGGUUGUUGAAGCCCAUCAUCAUCGUGUAGAAAUCGGUGAGUAAAAAGAAGUGGAAACACUUUGAGCAGACCGUGUUCGCCGUUCCGUCUCCAGGAUGGCAGUUCAGCUCUGGCCACAUUUUCAGAACCGAGCUCUUAUAUAUAUAUCCCUCAUCUGAAGAAGUGGACGUUCCAGAGCCCUCUUGAAAUUUAUCAUUCAAUCCUCAACCAACGAAAUACCUUUCUCUUCCGUGAGGUUGUUGAUGAUUUUGAUUCCUUUGUCUGUCUCGCCGAUGGCCAUGAGGAGAACACCAAAAAUGUAUCUUCCUUGUAGGUGACCACUCUUUGAUGCUAUGUGGAUGUGAUGUAGACCUAGGACUUGAUUUUGAGAUUGGAAGAAUUGAAUCAUACCUUUUACAAAGUGAGCAUCAGUAUUGUCUGCUUUAAGGCAGGCGUCCAUUAAUGAUUCGUACUGAUUGGAUAGGAGUGGCUUCUUAACAAAAGGCGAGAGGUUGAGAUCUUUGGCAACAGAGGGGUUGUCUGGACGAAAGCUUAGGCUUCUGCAUGUCAGUACCGUAUUGAAGUAGUCGACGUGGGAGUUUUGGCCUACUUUCGAAACUAUUAGAAGACGCAUGUCUUCAGGCAUGGCCUCAAGGGUCUGCAUGAUACUUUGUUUCGGAUUGAUGGAACUCAUGAAAAUAUCCUCUGUCUGUGUAUUUUUGCUUUUGAUGUUAUAUUUUAGUUUUUUCUUUGCUUCUCUUUGUUUAUAUAGGGCCGAGGAUGGUGCUUCGUGUUUGUUUUCCUUAGAGAAAGUGGAUUGAUACGUUUUGCAAUUGUUUUCGUAUAUUUAUUGUAACCCAUAAUUGGACGGUUUAAUUUU